rnacentral:lncRNA from 1 species
AAAAGAAAACCUAACCUUUGCCCUAAGCUCUCCUAAGUCCACCUUGUAGGGGAGACCCAAACCUUCAAAUCCUCCAAAAAUCUCCUCCAAAGCCAUCUCCUCCUUCACCUCUGUAACAUACCAGAUUUUAGUAUAAAAAUAAAAAUAAAUAAAAAUAGUGUGGAAAACUAUUUUUAUUGGAUUUAUAGAAGUAAAACAUAAGUCAGAAGUGACUUGUGCUGAAAUCGGAAUUAAAACAGAAGAUUUAAAAUUUUCUGUUGGAAACGGGGUAGAUAAAUUAGCAGAAAAUGCACAGUCUCAGAAAAUUAUGAAAAUUAGCGGGGAUGUCAGAAAUAUUUUUAUGAGGCUAGAUUUAAAGUUUCAUAUUUUUCUGACACCCGUAGAGUGAGAAAUAAAAUCCGAAAGCUAUCUGAUAAAGAUUGCAGUUCGGCACAGUUUUCGGUGACCAAACGGAGUCGAAACUGAAAACUUAAGAUAUAUUCUUGCUCAGUACGUUAAACUGAGCCUGCCUGUCAAAUUUGAGCGAAAACGGACAUCCGGAAGGGCUCCAACGAAAUUUAUCAGAUUUCAGGCUGCCCGUAGUGAAUAGUGUGUAGUUGAGGGGCAAAAUGGUAAAAUGGGAUUAAAUCCCUUUUGCUUCUUCUUCCUCCCAGCCGUAGCAGCCCAAACCGCACACACACACACGCGCAUGGAAGGGAAGAGAGAAGCCUCUCUUUCUCUCUCUAAAUCUCUCCCAAAAAGAAUGGAUUUGGUGGAGAUUGAAGCUUGGAGGUGGAUCGCCUUCGUCUUCUUCAUCUUCUCCAUGGUUUGGAGCUCAUUUUGAGGUGAGCUUCUUGAGCCCUUUAAUGGUAGAUCUUUAAUGCUUGGUUUAAAUACCUUAUAAAUGGAUUUAGAGGAGUCCUAGCAUGCUAUCUAGAUGAUUAAUGCUUGAAUCAUGGAUCAAUUUAGUGAUUUCUUGCAUAGUUGUAACCUAGGGCUCCAAAAUGCAAACUUUCAAAAUAUGAGGGUUUGAUCUCAUUUGACCCUUCGUAAACCUAAUUGCUAGGUAACGAAACGCGUUGGCGAAGACGGUUCGGCAAUCCGACGAGCCGUUACAAAGUUAUUAAAGAAAUGGACGUUUAGGCUUCGGGUCCGCCGGGAGGGCCGAGGCGAUAUCGUAAAUUCAUGAAAAUGGAUUUGAAGCAUCGUGGCACAUAACCGAAGACCUUUAAUUUUCGGAUCGUGAAUUGGAGGCCGUUCGGGUGGUCGCGCGAGAGAUCGGGCCAAACCGGGUGCCGGGUGCCGCGGGAGGCCGAUUGCAAGUGUCGACAAGCAAUCGGAAUGCGAAAUGAGGUGGGUUGUGUUUACCGAAGCGACUAGGUCGCCCUUUAUGUCUAAGAAAUGAGAUUUCAUAUUGAUGCAUGUUGACAUAUAAUGUGAAAUGCUAGAGGAAUGCAUUUGACAUAAUGUAAGAAUGUGAAAAGAAUGCAUGUUAACAUAUUAUAGAAAUGCUAGAUAAAUGCAUGUGAUUAAUGCUUUGAAUGCAUAAGAUAAAGGGCAUAUGAAUGUUAACAUUAUAAGAACAUGAUAAGAGGAAUGCAUGAUGACUUAGUGUAAAUAGUGCUAGAUGAAUGCAUUGAGUAAUGCUAAAGUUUACAUGAUAAGCAUGCAUGUGGAUAAUGCUAAGUAAUGGUAUGAUAAGCAUGAUGUAGAAAUAAUAAAUGCAAGCAUGUGGCUAAUACUAAGAUAUACUUGAUGAUCAUGUUGUAGAGAUACUAAUGUUAAGAAAUGAAAAUGUGCAUAUGGACAAUCUAUAUACAUUAGAUCGAGUGGCAUUAAACCUAGAGUCAUGGACAUAGGUUGAACAUGGAGGAUAUGAACCUAGUGUCAAAGAACAUAGGUUGAACAAGUAUAGUGUGAACCUAGUGUCAUGAACCUAGCAAACACUUGUGGCAUUUGAGCAUAUAUAUUUGUAUCAUUCAUACAUAAUAGGACUAAGUACAUGUGAAUCUUGGUUGCUUUCAAUGACAUGUUUCUAACGUAGUUGAACAUAGAGAAAGGUAGAACCAUAAUGGACAUGUAUGUUAGGACCCUAUUAUUGUGUGAAUGUGAGAGUUGGACUUGGACAUAGUAAACAAAGGUGACAUUGACAAUAGAGACAUUGAUUGGCAUAGAGAACAUAGUUGUUAAACAUAGUUUAACCAAGAGUGGCAUUGGACCAAGAUGACAUAGGGAGUGGCAUGAUUAAAUAGGUAGAAAACCUAUUAUGACAAUGGCAUUGUGACAAGUGGCUAUGAAUCCUCAAGUUGAGGAUUGGAUCGAUACUCACGAUAAGUCUUGGCUUGAGGGAGGUAGCUCCCCCUCGGGCGGUGCGCUCCGGAGUUGGUCACCACUGGGCGUGGUAAAGUCCCCCCAGAAGACGGUCCCUAGGGAGGUUCGAGUCCCCCGUUAUUAAGGGAUUUUGGGUUGUGAGUCAUUGGGGUUAACAUGGUUAACCGGUAAGAUUGGGUCAAAGCCAAGUGAAUGUAUAGCAUUAUGUGUUACGGGUUUGGUAUCCCAGUUGAGAGGAUUUAGGGCUGAGGUGUAUGUGAGACGUCCAUCACCUCGAGCCUAGUUUUGGUGCGGUAUUCCGCAGUUGAUUGACUCGAGACCGAGUCGGGUGGUUAGCUUGGCUAGGGUAGAGGAAAACCUUAGGAGCAAAUAACCAAUGAUGUAAAGUGAUAAGAUGUAUAAAUUAUGAAAAAGCUAUGGAUAGCAUGAUACAAAGUAAAAUCAUUUAUUCUACUUGUAUAGUUGCAUGAUUCGCAUAUAGCAUGGCAUUAUUGCAUUCGUGAGGCAAAGCAUGGUUUUAUUAGUUGCAUAAUAAAGAUAUAUAUCUAUCUGUUUAUUGAACUAACUUGCAGUUGCCUCCCUUGGACCUAUUGGUCGAGCUUUUCCCUUGGGUGGCCGUACCCACUGGGAACCAUGGAGUUGGUUCUCACCCCACGUGGUUUUGGGGUGUUUACAGGUUCACACGUGAGUGGCGCGGCGACGCGAAGCGAGGGCGUAGCUCCAUAGUUAGCGCCUUACCACCGAGACCAGAGAUAGCGGUACCCUGAGUCGGCCUUACUUAGGGAUGUAAAGAAUGAAAAGAAUCAAGUUUUAAUAAUAUUGUUAAAGCUAGAUUGUAUUUGGAAGCUAAAAACAAUGUAUUAUGUAAUUGUGAUGUAAAAUGAAUCUAAUGUGAAUGCUUGUAAUAACAUAGGAUGUGUUAUGUUGUUGAUAUCUUUCUUCUGCAAUCUUGCUGGAAUACUGUUCCUGGUCGGAACUCAUUGUACUUGUAUUGAUUGCUAUGCCUUGAACCUACAGGGGAGACUCUGUCCGCAGUAUAGGGGAAACCCUAUCC